CUGGGACAGGAAGAUGGCAGCACAGACCCAGGUCCUUGUGCUCCUUUUCCUUUGGAUGUCUGGUGCUUGUGCAGAAAUUGUUGUUACUCAGUCUCCAAGGUCCCUGUCUGUGUCUGCAGGAGAAAGGGUCACCAUCAACUGCAAGUCCAGCCAGAGUCUGUUAUCAGGUGGUAAUAACUACUUGGCUUGGUAUCAACAGAAACCAGGAAAAGCUCCUAAGCUUCUCAUGUAUGGGGCAUCUACCCAGGCAUCUGGAGUCCCUGAUAGGUUCAUUGGCAGUGGGUCUGGGACUGAUUUCACACUGACCAUCAGUAGAAUAGAGGCUGUAGAUAUGGCAGAUUAUUACUGAGGACAGCAU